UACGUAGGGUGCAAGCGUUAUCCGGAAUUAUUGGGCGUAAAGAGCUCGUAGGUGGUUCGGUAAGUCGGGUGUUAAACCCCCAGGCUCAACCUGGGGACGCCACUCGAUACUGCUGUGACUUGAGUCCGGUAGGGGAGCGUGGAAUUCCUGGUGUAGCGGUGAAAUGCGCAGAUAUCAGGAGGAACACCAGCGGCGAAGGCGGCGCUCUGGGCCGGUACUGACACUGAGGAGCGAAAGCGUGGGUAGCAAACAGG
rnacentral:rRNA from 1 species